UGCGAGUCAUUGUAGCAAUACAAGGCAGACGGCUCAGUAACGCGUAGUCAAUCUACCCUAUGGACGGGAAUAACCUCGGGAAACUGAGAAUAAUGCCCGACAGAACAUUAUACCUGGAACGGUUUAUGUUUCAAAUGAUUUAUCGCCGUAGGAUGGGACUGCGGCCUAUCAGUUUGUUGGUGAGGUAAUGGCCCACCAAGACUAUUACAGGUACGGGCUCUGAGGGGAGUAGCCCGGAGAUGGGUACUGAGACACGGACCCAGGCCCUAUGGGGCGCAGCAGGCGAGAAAACUUUGCAAUGUGCGAAAGCACGACAAGGUUAAUCCGAGUGGUUUCUGCUAAAGAAACCUUUUGCUAGUCCUAGAAACACUAGUGAAUAAGGGGUGGGCAAGUUCUGGUGUCAGCCGCCGCGGUAAAACCAGCACCUCAAGUGGUCAGGAUGAUUAUUGGGCCUAAAGCAUCCGUAGCUCGUUUUGUAAGUUUUCGGUUAAAUCCAUACGCUUAACGUAUGGGCUGCCGGGAAUACUGCAUAACUAGGAAGUGGGAGAGGUAGACGGUACUCGGUAGGAAGGGGUAAAAUCCUUUGAUCUAUUGAUGACCACCUGUGGCGAAGGCGGUCUACCAGAACACGUUCGACGGUGAGGGAUGAAAGCUGGGGGAGCAAACCGGAUUAGAUACCCGGGUAGUCCCAGCUGUAAACUAUGCAAACUCAGUGAUGCAUUGGCUUGUGGCCAAUGCAGUGCUGCAGGGAAGCCGUUAAGUUUGCCGCCUGGGAAGUACGUACGCAAGUAUGAAACUUAAAGGAAUUGGCGGGGGAGCACCACAAGGGGUGAAGCCUGCGGU
rnacentral:rRNA from 1 species